rnacentral:rRNA from 1 species
GACGAACGCUGGCGGCGUGCCUAAUACAUGCAAGUCGAGCGCUGAAUGUGGGUCCUUGUACCAACUGGAUGAGCAGCGGACGGGUGAGUAACUCGUGGUGAAUCUACCUUUGAGCGGGGGACAACAUUUGGAAACGAAUGCUAAUACCGCAUAAAAACUUUAAACACAAGUUUUCAGUUUUAAAGAUGCAAUUUCAUCACUCAAGAAUGGGCCCACGUUGUAUUAGCUAGUUGGUGAGGUAAGGGCGCACCAAGGCGACGAUCCAUAGCUGAUCUGAGAAGAGCGUCAGCCACACUGGAAAUGCAGCACGGACCAGACGCCAACGAGAGGCAGCGGGAGGGAAGAUUGUGGUAUGGACAAAAGACUGAACCAGGAAAGCCACGUGAGUGAAGGAGGCCUUGGAACCGUAAAGCACAUUUACGCUGGAUGAUAAUGGCAGUACGUGGACGAAGAACUCCGACUAACUCGGAG